rnacentral:lncRNA from 1 species
UCAGAAUGUCUCCCUUAAGAGUCAUCAUUUCUGGAAGUGCUUCCAGAUAUUUUCUUGUGAGGAUGUCAACUUUAAUUUGCAACAUCUAAUUCAGUGUCAGCAAAGUAGCAAGUCUGUACAGAGAAAGAAGGAGUCCAAAGAAACAAAGUUGAGGUAUUUCAAGAAGGAAUAGUGAAGCAACUGGGACAGAGUCCUACGAUUCACCUGCCAGAGGAGGCAAAGAGCUUUGCGGCUGAAAUACAUCAUCUGACAAAGUCAAGUUCUAAUUAUAUUUAUGCAAGGUUAAAUUUGAAGUGAAAAAGUAAGUGCUGAUUUAGUGAUGCCAUUUACUAGACUGUUGACCUUCUCUUAUUGAUCUGUCAACAGUAAAAUGGAAUUAAUGUGGCUACCUUGUAAUGGAAUGGACAUUUUCCCCAUGCGUUUGAAGUUAAGAUAAGCUCUUACU